AAGAAGCCUUGCUUUCCUUUGCCUGAACGAAGCUGGCGGACGGGGUGNAGUAAUGUCAUGGGCAAACAUGGCCCUGGAUGGGANGGGGAUAACUACUGGAAACGGUAGCUAAUACCGCAUAACGUCGCAAGACCAAAGAGGGGGACCUUCGGGCCUCUUGCCAUCGGAUGUGCCCAGAUGGGAUUAGCUAGUAGGUGGGGUAACGGCUCACCUAGGCGACGAUCCCUAGCUGGUCUGAGAGGAUGACCAGCCACACUGGAACUGAGACACGGUCCAGACUCCUACGGGAGGCAGCAGUGGGGAAUAUUGCACAAUGGGCGCAAGCCUGAUGCAGCCAUGCCGCGUGUAUGAAGAAGGCCUUCGGGUUGUAAAGUACUUUAAGCGGGGAGGAAGGGGAGUAAAAGUUAAUACCUUUGCUCAUUGACGUUACCCGCAGAAGAAGCACCGGCUAAAUUCCGUGCCAGCAGCCCGCGGUAAUACGGGAGGGUGCAAGCGUUUAAUCGGAAUUACUGGGCGUAAAGCGCACGCAGGCGGUUUUGUUAAGUCAGAUGUGAAAUCCCCGGGCUCAACCUGGGAACUGCAUCUGAUACUGGCAAGCUUGAGUCUCGUAGAGGGGGGUAGAAUUCCAGGUGUAGCGGUGAAAUGCGUAGAGAUCUGGAGGAAUACCGGUGGCGAAGGCGGCCCCCUGGACGAAGACUGACGCUCAGGUGCGAAAGCGUGGGGAGCAAACAGGAUUAGAUACCCUGGUAGUCCACGCCGUAAACGAUGUCGACUUGGAGGUUGUGCCCUUGAGGCGUGGCUUCCGGAGCUAACGCGUUAAGUCGACCGCCUGGGGAGUACGGCCGCAAGGUUAAAACUCAAAUGAAUUGACGGGGGCCCGCACAAGCGGUGGAGCAUGUGGUUUAAUUCGAUGCAACGCGAAGAACCUUACCNUGGUCUUGACAUCCACAGAACUUUUCCAGAGAUGAAUUUGGUGCCUUCCGGGAACUGUGAGACAGGUGCUGCAUGGCUGUCGUCAGCUCGUGUUGUGAAAUGUUGGGUUAAGUCCCGCAACGAGCGCAACCCUUAUCCUUUGUUGCCAGCGGUCCGGCCGGGAACUCAAAGGAAACUGCCAGUGAUAAACUGGAGGAAGGUGGGAAUGACGUCAAGUCAUCAUGGCCCUUACGACCAGGGCUACACACGUGCUACAAUGGCGCAUACAAAGAGAAGCGACCUCGCGAGAGCAAGCGGACCUCAUAAAGUGCGUCGUAGUCCGGAUUGGAGUCUGCAACUCGACUCCAUGAAGUCGGAAUCGCUAGUAAUCGUGGAUCAGAAUGCCACGGUGAAUACGUUCCCGGGCCUUGUACACACCGCCCNACACACCAUGGGAGUGGGUUGCAAAAGAAGUAGGUAGCUUAACCUUCGGGAGGGCGCUACCACUU
rnacentral:rRNA from 1 species